rnacentral:rRNA from 1 species
AGAGUUUGAUCCUGGCUCAGGAUGAAUGCUGGCGGCGUGCCUAAUACAUGCAAGUCGAGCGGUAAGGCCUUCGGGGUACACGAGCGGCGGACGGCUGAGUAACGCGUGGGAACAUGCCCCAAAGUGAGGGAUAACGCACCGAAAGGUGUGCUAAUACCGCAUAUGGUCUUCGGAUUAAAGGAUUUAUCCGCUUUGGGAGUGGCCCGCGUACGAUUAGAUUGUUGGUGAGGUAACGGCUCACCAAGUCGACGAUCGUUAACUGGUCUGGGAGGAUGAUCAGUCAGACUGGAACUGAGACACGGUCCAGACUCCUACGGGAGGCAGCAGUAAGGAAUCUUCCACAAUGGGCGAAAGCCUGAUGGAGCAACGCCGCGUGCAGGAUGAAGGCCCUCGGGUCGUAAACUGCUUUUAUGAGUGAAGAAUAUGACGGUAACUCAUGAAUAAGCACCGGCUAACUACGUG